GUCGAACGGUAGAGGGGGCAACCCCUUGAGAGUGGCGAACGGGUGAGUAAUGUAUCGGAACGUGCCCAGUCGUGGGGGAUAACGUAGUGAAAAUUACGCUAAUACCGCAUACGAUCUAUGGAUGAAAGCGGGGGAUCGCAAGACCUCGCGCGAUUGGAGCGGCCGAUAUCAGAUUAGGUAGUUGGUAGGGUAAAGGCCUACCAAGCCAACGAUCUGUAGCUGGUCUGAGAGGACGACCAGCCACACUGGAACUGAGACACGGUCCAGACUCCUACGGGAGGCAGCAGUGGGGAAUUUUGGACAAUGGGCGAAAGCCUGAUCCAGCCAUUCCGCGUGCAGGAUGAAGGCCCUCGGGUUGUAAACUGCUUUUGUACAGAACGAAAAGGUUUCUAUUAAUACUAGGAGCUCAUGACGGUACUGUAAGAAUAAGCACCGGCUAACUACGUGCCAGCAGCCGCGGUAAUACGUAGGGUGCAAGCGUUAAUCGGAAUUACUGGGCGUAAAGCGUGCGCAGGCGGUUAUAUAAGUCAGAUGUGAAAUCCCCGGGCUCAACCUGGGAACUGCAUUUGAGACUGUAUAGCUAGAGUACGGUAGAGAGGGAUGGAAUUCCGCGUGUAGCAGUGAAAUGCGUAGAUAUGCGGAGGAACACCGAUGGCGAAGGCAAUCCCCUGGACCUGUACUGACGCUCAUGCACGAAAGCGUGGGGAGCAAACAGGAUUAGAUACCCUGGUAGUCCACGCCCUAAACGAU
rnacentral:rRNA from 1 species